rnacentral:rRNA from 1 species
ACACGGCCCAAACUCCUACGGGAGGCAGCAGUGGGGAAUAUUGGACAAUGGGCGCAAGCCUGAUCCAGCAAUGCCGCGCGGGUGAAGAAGGUUUUCGGAUUGUAAAGCCCUUUUGGCGGGGACGAUGAUGACGGUACCCGCAGAAUAAGCCCCGGCUAACUUCGUGCCAGCAGCCGCGGUAAUACGAAGGGGGCUAGCGUUGCUCGGAAUGACUGGGCGUAAAGGGCGCGUAGGCGGCGGCCAAAGUCAGGCGUGAAAUUCCUGGGCUCAACCUGGGGGCUGCGUUUGAUACUUGGUUGCUUGAGUGGGGAAGAGGGUCGUGGAAUUCCCAGUGUAGAGGUGAAAUUCGUA